UACGGAGGGUGCGAGCGUUGUCCGGAAUCACUGGGCGUAAAGGGCGCGUAGGCGGCUUGGGAAGUCCGUGGUGAAAGCCCGAGGCUCAACUUCGGGUCGGCCAUGGAUACUCCUAAGCUCGAGUCGACUAGAGGCUAAUGGAAUUCCGGGUGUAGCGGUGGAAUGCGUAGAGAUCCGGAAGAACACCGGUGGCGAAGGCGGUUAGCUGGGGUCGGACUGGACGG
rnacentral:rRNA from 1 species